GCUGGCCACGGUUGUGCACACCUAUAGUCCUUAAACUACUGGGGAGGCUGAGGCAGGAGGAUAACUUGAGUCCAGGAGUUCUGGGCUGCAGUGCACUAAGCCUAUCAGGUGUCCACACUAAGUUUGGCAUCAAUAUGGUGACCUCCCGGGAGCAGGGGCCCACCAGCUUGCCUCAGGAGGAGUAAACUGGCCCAGGUCGGAAAUGGAGCAGGUCAAAACUCCCGUGCUGAUCAGAUAAGCACAAAUUAAAGCAAUUCAUGACCACUAAGCCAGCAUUUUAGAAGAUAAUU
rnacentral:SRP_RNA from 1 species